rnacentral:rRNA from 1 species
UACGUAGGGGGCGAGCGUUGUCCGGAAUUAUUGGGCGUAAAGAGCUCGUAGGCGGUGUGUCACGUCGGCCGUGAAAACCUGCAGCUUAACUGUGGGCGUGCGGUCGAUACGGGCAUCACUGGAGUUCGGCAGGGGAGACUGGAAUUCCUGGUGUAGCGGUGAAAUGCGCAGAUAUCAGGAGGAACACCGGUGGCGAAGGCGGGUCUCUGGGCCGUAACUGACGCUGAGGAGCGAAAGCGUGGGGAGCGAACAGG